rnacentral:rRNA from 1 species
CUUACGUGGCAGACGGGUGAGUACAUGUGGGUAUCUGCCCUUUGGCCUGGAAUAACACGAGGAAACUUGUGCUAAUACUGGAUAAGUCUUUACGGAGAAAGCUUUAUGCACCAUUGGAUGAGCCUGCACUUGAUUAGUUUGUUGGUAGGGUAAUGGCCUACCAAGACUUUGAUCAAUAGCUGAUUUGAGAGGAUGAUCAGCCACAUUGGGACUGAGACACGGCCCAAACUCCUACGGGAGGCAGCAGUGGGGAAUAUUGGACAAUGGGCGAAAGCCUGAUCCAGCAAUGCCGCGUGUGUGAAGAAGGCCUGCGGGUUGUAAAGCACUUUCAGUUGGGAAGAUGAUGACGUUACCAACAGAAGAAGCACCGGCUAAAUCCGUGCCAGCAGCCGCGGUAAUACGGAUGGUGCGAGCGUUAAUCGGAAUUACUGGGCGUAAAGCGCGCGUAGGCGGCUAAGUCAGUCAGAAGUGAAAGCCCCGGGCUCAACCUGGGAAUUGCUUUUGAUACUGCUUAGCUAGAGUUUGGUAGAGGAUAGUGGAAUUCCAGGUGUAGCGGUGAAAUGCGUAGAUCUCUGGAGGAACAUCAGUGGCGAAGGCGACUGUCUGGACCACAACUGACGCUGAGGUGCGAAAGCGUGGGUAGCAAACAGGAUUAGAUACCCUGGUAGUCCACGCCGUAUAAGAAGUCAACUAGGCGGUCGGACCUAAUUACAAGGUAGGGUGCGGCAGCUAACGCGGAUAAGUGGACCGCAUG